rnacentral:snRNA from 1 species
GAGAGCUCCAAGUGGGCC